GUACAAUAUCUUGAAGAGUAGCAGCCGAGAUAGAGAGGAAGUGUAGAAGGAUUGAAAAUAAUGUUGCGAGUCUGUGGACUUUGCAUUUGGUUCUAGCUUGGGGAGUUGUUCAAUGCACAACAUGCCAUUAGACUAAAUACAGAGUUUUAUAUUCUUCUUGUUGUUGAUAUAGUUAUGGCUAUUGUAGUGGUGGUGGCACUCUCUGCUCUGGCUUGUGAAAAUGCAUGUGUAUAUUGAUGUUGCUGGGGGCAUCUGAUGCUAACCUCAUUGGAGGCACUUGUUUGCUUGUCUUCUGAUUUAAUUUCUUCGCCCUACCCUCUUUUCUGUUAUUUAGGGAACAAAUUAUAGAUUUAUGUAUACUACUCCCC
rnacentral:misc_RNA from 1 species